UUUCCCUCAGGAUAGCUGGCACUCGCUCGAGCGAGUCUCAUCUGGUAAAGCGAAUGAUUAGAGGCCUUGGGGCCGAAACGACCUCAACCUAUUCUCAAACUUUAAAUGGGUGAGAUCUCUGGCUUGCUUGAACGUUGAAGCCACGAGAUUAAUUUAUUUCGGAUCAGAGUGCCAAGUGGGCCAAUUUUGGUAAGCAGAACUGGCGCUGUGGGA
rnacentral:rRNA from 1 species